UGGGAUAUAUACUUCAUAUUUUGUGAUG
rnacentral:piRNA from 1 species